rnacentral:rRNA from 1 species
UUCGGGGGGACGAGGGUGACAGGUGGUGCAUGGUUGUCGUCAGCUCGUGUCGUGAGAUGUUGGGUUAAGUCCCGCAACGAGCGCAACCCUCGACCUUAGUUGCCAGCAUUCAGUUGGGCACUCUAAGGUGACUGCCGGCUAAAAGUCGGAGGAAGGUGGGGAUGACGUCAAAUCAUCAUGCCCCUUAUGACCUGGGCUACACACGUGCUACAAUGGGCGGUACAAAGGGUCGCGAACCCGCGAGGGGGAGCCAAUCCCAAAAAGCCGCUCUCAGUUCGGAUUGCAGGCUGCAACUCGCCUGCAUGAAGCCGGAAUCGCUAGUAAUCGCGGAUCAGCAUGCCGCGGUGAAUACGUUCCCGGGCCUU